AUGUAAAACAAAUUAUUUUGCCCAUGUGACAUGCAAUUUUAUAUUUUCUGUUCGAAAAGGAGCAGGUAGAAGAUACAUCUUAUAAUAUCCUGCCCCUUUCAUACUAGUCAAUGUAUUACCAAUACAUUGACUAGUAGCAUCAAAUCAGAUACUGGGGUUAAAGAUAAAAACUUAAAAAAUUAUUCAGACCCUGCUGUGGCAGAGGCAGGGACCUGUCUGAGCAGCAGCUAGGUUUAAGUAGACUGGGAACACUGGGCUCAGGUGUUCCCAGUUAACGGUUGAUUCAAGACCUACUUCCACUCCCAUUCCAGCUGAGAAACAGGCAAACAUAAAGACAGGGAAAAACAGCUGUCAGAUGACAUAUUUAUUUAAAAUGUUAUUUCAUUAAAGACUUGCAUACAUAAUUAUUGAAUAAUUUAGAUGAUUAAAUUGUGGCACUUUUGCCCAGAUUAUACCGACAUUUUAACAGAUGGCAAAAUAGUUCCAACCAGCAUGGUCUUUGUGAAAUUCUAAUGAGACCUUUGACCUCUCACUCUUAACCGUCCAGCACCAAACAACAGCCUGGCUCCACAAUCCGAUGAUGUUUCUGCCACAGGGUGUCAGCCCUCACCUGCUCAGAUCCUUUUGAUGAGGACUUGCUGUCAAAGUCAGAAGUGACCCUCCUGGUGCGUUAUUAUCUUCUAACAUAACUUUAAUAUUCUCUUUCUUUACGGCAAUGCCGUGUGCUUCUGUGUACAAGUUUGCGGGCACAGGCGUUGAAGUUUACACUUUCAUUAAAACUUUGCCAAGUGUUUCUACAGCAACAAGCUGCUCUCCUGCAGACCGUCACCCUCUCCGCCGUGUGGCCUGGUCCUUUGCCGUUUCAGCGUCUUCUUUCAUACUGUAAGCUGUAUAUCCCGCCCACCCUCCUCCGGACCCUCCUCUACUCACUCACUCCUUCCUCCGUGCUGCUCGGUGUGGGCGUUGAGCUCAGGCUGUUCUUUCCAUUUCGGUACUGUAUUGUCAAUGCAUUGUUGCAUCCGAUCCAGUGAGGAUGCUGCGGGAAUACUCUAUAACUCUCUCUCGCUGCCUGUCUCUCUUUCUUCAUCCCUCCUCCCUCCCGUCCCUGGGAAAAAGAGCCAGUUGCUAGGUAACAGUUAAUUGUCAAGAAGUAGUUACAUGUGUUUCGCUGCAUCCCGAGCUUGUUGGGUUCCGCGUAGGAGCCGAACAAGUGAGCAAAAUAAACUGUUUUCCUUCCAUCCUUUGAGAAGAAGAUGAAAGUUUCGAGAGAGAUCAAAACAGCUUUCCUCCAGCACCCCACCUUGUUCUAUGUCACCACCCAGGACUGCAGAUGUCAAGGAGUCUCCCACCCAAUCUCUGUGCAAGGCAUUGGUACUUUUUAUCCAACCUGCUGGUUUCUUUAAAUAACUCCUGUUGCUGGACAAGGCUUUCACAGUGAAGGGUGUUUUUACCCAAACCAUCUUGUCCGUUGUCGGAGAGUCUUCCAAGAAGAGAGUCCAGGUUAGUGUAGCAGACAGAGGGAAGCAAAUGAAACAUUAAAAGAGCAAAAUAUUAUUAGCUGUAAUCUAAUAGCUAACAGCUUAUCUAUUAAAUUAAAGAUUUAAAUGAUUUUUACUAAAACCAGUAAAAAAUCAUUUUACUGGUUUUAGUAAAAAUGAAAAUUUUACUAAAACCAUUUUAUCUCAUUCCUCUCAGAAAGCGUACAGCAGAAAUUUAAGCAAACAAUUGUGUUUGUGCAAAGUAAUUGACAUUGGGUUUUUUUAUACUCGUCAUCUUUUAGAUUUAUUUAUUCAAACUAAAUUUUCAGUAAAAAUCUAUGGAAAACUAGUUACAAAUUCUUAAUAAAUCAGUUUUUAAACAUUUAAAGUAAUGUUUUGUAAGACAAAACAUUACUAUUUUGUUUUACAAAAGAGUAAAUCUGAAUCACUGUAUGUGAUGUCUCUUAGUGUUUAUAAUGCAGUACCAGCUGAUUUUAAAGCUGAGAAACAUAGUUACAUUUGAAUGAUUUCUGACUGUUCAGACUUGACGGUGGCAGCCACAUGUUCCAACAAUUUACCAGGUUUAGCUGAGAGUACAGACAUUCAGAGAUUAUAAUGAAACAUAGUUAAAGGCUCAAAAACGAAUCACUUAUAAAACAAAAACAUUUCCCGCCGUCUGAACACAUGGAACCACAAUCCUGAAGCAAUCAUCACAUGCACUCUGGAGUGGUUCUGGAAAAUCUUUCUAAUAAACUCUGGACCUCAAUGUCUGUCAAAUACAAUGGCAACUCAAUCACACAAACAAACCCAAAAUGAAAUCCUGAAGCGAGUUGAGACAGAGUUGAGGAAGGAAAAGAAGAUUGUUUUUCUAAUGCAAUGAAAAUUUCCCUUUAGAAAUCAGAUAGUGAAAUGUCCAACUUAUCAAUAGUCAUAUUACCCACACAAGUUUUUAAUGGAACCAGUGAAUGUUUCAUUAACGGCAAAUGCUACUAUCUAGUUUAUCUCUUGUUUUAAGGAAGGUUUUAGUCAUAGAAUCAAAAUAAGGUUCCUAAUUUGGAAGUGAAAUGUCUAAAACUGGCUAUAAUUACUUAUUGGAAAGAUUUGCUGUAUUCCGUAAUACAAAAACCAAUGACGGUCCUGCACACUUCAACAGGAUUCUAUCAAGGCAGAAUAAAAAUGCUGGCAGUUUCCUAAAAGCAUCCAAGGUUUUGUUGGAUGGUCAUUUUACAUACAAGCUCAAAUAGAAAUAAAACCGUCACUUACACUUUGGGUACAUUUCAACAAGCUUCUGGCAUCAUUCUCUCUGUUUGAAAACCUCUGUUCCCUUUAGAAUUAGUUAAGCUAAUGUAAAUUAGCCAGUUUCAUAGCACAGGUCCACCCUUCGAAGCAUAGUGGAUACAUUCUGAAUAUGGUUGAGGUCAGUGCUUGAGGUCGACCACUCAGGAAGUUUAGUGUUAGCCUUCCCAAAGUUUUGAUGUUUAUGAUCACCUAAAUGUGGCGAAUGUUUCACUUUGAGAGGAGGGGAUUAGUUAAUGUACUGUAUUCAAGAUCCACCAAGGCUCAAGCCAUCCUUUGGGUCCUGCUGGAACACCAGUAUCAACAGUGGAAUAGAUCUGACAUAAGAUUUACUUUGAAGGGUUUGCUCCAACGUGAGCACAAUUAAAAGCUUGAAGCUGCAGACACAAGAAGCCAAAUGCUUCUUCAGGAAAGAGUUUUGCUCAGAACAGACAAAUCUUGAGCUGUUUGGCUCCAGCAAUCACCAACAUGUUCAGAGGAGUCAAGACAAGGCUUAUUUUUUAGGCCCAUGAAAACUGUGGCAACUGGUUUGCAUGGUGGUGGCAGCACCAUGCUAAGGGUCUUUGCUUUUACUUUGUUAAAAGUGGAUGGAAUAAUAAAAAAGUAAGAUUACAUCCAACAUUUUUAACUUUAGCUCAAAGCAACAACUUCGUUUUUGUUUUUUUUCUAGACACAGCAAACCCAACAAAAAGAAACUGUGUUUGGGGUAGAUCAAGCUUCUGGAAAGAUAUUGAACAUUUAUGAGCUGUGGGAGACCAUGAAACAUCUCGAACAAUCUCAACCAUAUCUGAUGAAAAGAGUGGUCAAAUUCAGCCAGAAUAUUGGCAAAAAGCUCAUGGUUUUUCUGCAGUUUGCUGAAGGACUUUUAUCUAAGUAAUAGUGGGGUACGUGUAUAUUUGUGGUUAUAUUGAUACUUUUAGCCUUAAAGAAAAUCCACAAUGAAUUUAAACACUAGCAUCCAACUCUUCCCUGUAAGAAAACAUUGCAAAAAUCAUUCCAUCACAAGAAAAACAGUGCAAUAAAUCCUUCCAAUCCCAAUAUAAGUCUGAUUUUAUAUAAACUGCCCCAGAACUGUAAGUGAACUGCAAACAUUUUUUUUACAGUAUUUUCUGUUAAAAAAUAUAUACACACAUGUAAUUUUACAAAACCACAUAAACAUUUCAUUUCAGUUUCACAGUAUGAAAAAUGGUACAAAUAACAUUUUAUUUGUUUGCGAUUUACAAGUUAUAUGAAGGUUUGAACAAUAUUACACAUGAUCAAAACAAUGAAAAGGCGACUCAGUUGAGAUUUCUUAUUUUUUAUUAAUACUCAACACCUUUAUUCCAAAGAGACAGAAGAAUAAUAUUUCUCAGCACUUAUUUUCACAUUGACUGUGUUUAAUCUCGUUUUCAAUAUUACUAAAUAUUCAAUCAAAUCUGAAAUACUCUCUUCACACAAGUAAUAUCUCUCCAUACAAAAGAAUGCAAGGAUGAACUAGAGUUUUCUUGUAUGUACACUUUUCACAAUCUGUACAGCUCAGGGAUGAAGUUCGAUCCUCUGCAGCAAAACACACAAAAAAAAACAAAGACUUUUCUUUUUUAAGACAAAGAGGGGAAAAUAGAACGGCUCUGUAAAAAUGUCAAUUGUGCUUUCUGUUUACCAAUAAAUGAAGGUCCUGUACAUUUUUUUUUCUUUGAGAAAAACAUCCUUUUUUUAAAGACCAAAUCAAGAACAAAAUGAAAACACAGACCUUCACUCAUUAAAUAUGUGCACUAAGUGUAAUAAUAAAUCAUUGCACAAUUCCUGGCCUGAAGUCGUUACAAAAGCACUUUUGUUGAAGGGAUGUUGACUAAUCAAAGAUUUAUCCCAAAUAGAUGUACUCUGUUCAUUUUCUUUACAGUUAUUAUCAAAAGUUCAUGAAUGUGAGGUAAGAUAUUUACAUCUCAUUUUAUUGUACAUGUACAACAAACAGUGGUCUCACUCACUCUGCCUCUCUUCCAUAUGAGCACACACAGAGGUAAUCAAGCGUAUGUAUUCAGGCACAUACAAUAACAAAUAAUGAGGUUUUUUUUUUAGCUUUUUUUAAAAAAGGGAGAAAAGCAAAAAACAAAAAAUAAGCAGAGGUUAUGAAAAAGAGCCACUUUCUUAGUGACAAAGAAUCAAACCAAGACCUCAGCUUUGAAGAAAAGUGUGAAACAGUCAAGAAAACUGGUAUUUAAAUCACCACAAUAUGACCUUUUUCAUAAAAAAUGUUUCAAUUAAUUCAGCCAUAUUUGUAUGCACUUCAGCAUGAAUUUCAGUCUUGGAUUGGUGUUUUCUCUUGAAAGAAAAAUAAAAUCAAACACUCACACACAUCUACAGAACUGCACGGAUCAUCGGCAUCAGAAUGAAAUAAGAAAAAGAAACACAUACAUGCAAACCCAUACAAACACUAGAGACCUUAAGUAUCAUACAUACUGACUUGUCAGCCAAAGAGAAGAAAAGUCUAGAAAGGUUCUGAGUGGGCUUUACAAGUUAAUAUCAUUCAGUCACAUUGUGGUUCUGUAUUAGAUCUAGAGCGGGUAAAAUGACUGAAUCUGCAUGCUAAAUGGCAAAAGGAGACUGAAAAUAUGUAUUUAUUUUUCUCUAAUUGUUAGUAAUUUGGCAAUUGUAGAUUUGGUAGGUGUCAAAAUCCUAAAAGCCAUACCGUUUUUUUUUUUUUCCUUUUAUACAAAAAGUUUAUAUAACUCAUUCUCAUAUUCUCCCCAAAAAGUCAACAGAUGACUUUUUGUUGACUUUCAAAUCCAAGCCAAUUUUGGCUUGGAUUUGAAGCCAAAAUUCAUCCUUUCUCAAAGUCUAAAUAUGUGACAGCUUUACAGUUCAGCAAAGGACGGUUUAAGGCUAUAGCUUUUUAUAUUUUGGUAGCUAAAAAUAUUGGACCCACAACUUUGAACAAGCAGUGCAUUUUUGUAUUUGUGGGCAUAAUCUAUUGCCUGCAGUUAAUUCAGAAACUGAUUAUAGUUUUUUUUUAUGUGCUUAUUUGAAAUAAAGACUGUAAAAAGCACAAAAACAGCGAGUCAGGCUCAGUCUAAAAGGUAUCAAAAUGUCUGCGAGCUAUAUACUAUAUUUUAGUAAGCAAGUUGUGAUUUUUCCUGUUUGUUUUUUCCUUCCAGUGGCAUUGGACUAUAAAGCACUUCAAUGUUUAAUAGAUAAAAACAGAUCUUAUCAGCAUUUGGGUACUUUUUGGACAGUUAUUGCAAAGUUUCAGUUUAAGUCUACAGAGUUUCUAUUUAGUCUGAAAAAUGACUUUUCACUAUAGUAUCUUUAAAAUCUGGAUACGUGUUUAAAAAAUAUGUAUGGAGAAAUAUUUAUAUAUCCAUCCAUUCAGUCUGUUUUUUUUUUUUUUUUGCAGUUUUCCAUAUUUAAAGCCUGUUUCCAACAGGAAUGACAUAAAUUCAUAGUGAAGUUUUUUUUUUCUUUUUAAAGCACUGAGAUCUCUGAGAGUUUGAGUCUGAAAGAUUACAUCUGAGCAAGGGAAUAGUAUAUAUGCAGACGGACUGCAAGCCCAUCACAAGGCGUGACAUUUUUGCACCUCUGAUCGUACAGUAAAAACUUUUCUGCAACUUAUUUUUGUAUUCAAUGCGUGUACAGUGAUUUGCCGACCUCUGAUAAUGCUGCUAGCAACUUGUUAAUUACUUACACGUUGUCCCUUUUAAGUAGAUGUUUCUCAAAUCAGAAAAGGAAAUAAAACCUUAAUGGAUUCCAUGCUGAUUUGAAACAGACUGUCAGGCAGCUGUUUUGUUUCUUAUGGUUUAUGUCUACAGUUCUGUCUGCUAUUACAGAAAAAGUCCUUGUUUUUCCCCAGAAAGCUUACUGAGCCUUCUCAGUAAGGCUCAGCUUACUGAGCCUUCUCAGUAAGGCUCAGUUUACUGAGCCUUCUCAGUAAGGCUCAGUUUACUGAGCCUUCUCAGUAAGCUUUCUGACUCUGACUCUUGUCUUCUGUGCGGCCUUGUAUCACUUUUGUUAAAGGUGGCAUCUUUACAGGACUUACACUUUUCCACUUUUCCAGACAAUGUUCGAUUUGUCCUCACACUAACUAUGUAAUCCAGUAUAGAGUGGGUCAACAAUUGUGUAACAGAUGUUUUAUUUCAACUAGAAAUGACUCUAAGGUUAAUUUAACACAACAGUAACUCUUACCCUUGUUUUGUACCCACUCAUUGCCAGUGGUCCUAACCUAAUUCCAUGUUACAAGCCAAUGCUUACCAGUUUAUUUCUCCUUUGGUUAAAUAACUUGUAAACAUUAUAAAAAGUAUAAAAAUAAAAAAUCACAAACCUGCUCACUCCUCACAUACCCUAAUUGCUUUUUUUUUUUGAGGAUUUUAUUCUACACCACAUUCCCAUUGAUUGUGUUUCUGAUUCCAAUUUUGGUCAUAAUUUGUGAAGCACAAGAAAUUACGACCCCAGAAUAAACCCCAAAUAACUCACAGUCCUGACAGACACUGUUAGACAAGAGCUGCUGCACAAAGUGACACGACCAGCCACAUGGCUUCUGCAACCUCUGGCACUGAAGCCACACAAGACUCUUAAAAUAAUUUAGGGUAACCUAUUUUUCAUAUAAUCACGCUAAUAAAAAAAGACUAAUUGUAGCAGAUUUUUAGUGCUUGAAAUAUUUUUCUGUUUUUUUUUUUUUGUUUAUUUUUUCAUUAGGUUUCAAACUGAGUAAAACCUAAAGACACAUUUCAGAUAUUUUAUAUUAGAGCUCUUACAGAGAAAUUGGAAUGAGUCAAAAUUGGUAUUGGCGGGUAAAAGCAUUAUAAAAACUAGAGCCUAGAAAAUGACAACAAUUUGAUUGUUUCAUCUGCAAAAGUAAACACUUUGCAGACACCGACUGAGGGAACAGCUAUGGUCUAUUUUUUACCAUUAUCUUCAAGAAUUGGGGACUAAUAAAGCAGUCAUUUUCUUAAAGAGUCAGUGGUGUUGAAGUCCCCCUCUCCCAGCACAGGACAAAUCACAAUGUUUGCUCAUCUGUUUUUCAAUUACACAACUUACAUUUGGAUCACUGCUUAUAUAUACUUGACAUAUAGGCAGCAAUAUUUUUGCUCUUUUUUUAACUUGCAAACAAAACUAUCUUAUUCAGUACUAAUUAGUAGACUUCAGAGGUGCUGGACGAGUCAUUUUACUAUCUUCAGAAAGAACCAGAAGGACUGUUGUCUCACUCUUUCCAGCCUUUAUUCCCAUACUGGCAUUUGGCUGUAGUAGCCUCGUUAUCUUUAUGUACUCUGAAGUUGCAAUGUGUCAUUGCAACUUCAAUGAGACAUUGCAACUAAGUAUUUCUGAUUUUACUUAAAAUAAAUGUGUAACAAUAUUUUUUUUGCAAGGUAUUAAAAACAAUAUGUAAUGCUAGAUCUCUGUGGUUUUCCAUAAAGCGGAUCAAGAUUAUAUUGGCGUUGGUAGUUUCUUUAUCAUUUCGUAUAAGGAGCUUGGGAUCAAUACAUUAUUUAAAUAAAAUAAGCCUCCCAUAGUUAUGUUAACGUUAAAAAUAAAGGAAUGUUGUAAAUAUAUUUCCUCUUGAUCUAAUGCCCAUGGUGUCUUUCAAUUUGUUCAUUGCAAGCUUAGUUUAAUGGCACCAGAUGAAACUAAAACUAUAAUAUUGAAUGGUUUUCUCGUGUGUCUUUGCUCCCAAAUCAGUUGACUGAUUGCGAGAGGAUCUUCCUAUCAAAAGAAAAUGGAUAGAAAAUCAGUGUAAGUCCCAUUAAGGCACAUCCAGCGCAAAUUGAGAAACCCUUUUGGUACUGGCGAAGCAAGUAACAAAAACCGCAAAUCAGUAUGAUGAUGUUGCUUCUGCAGUUGAAAAAAAAAAAAAAA